rnacentral:lncRNA from 10 species
GGGCUGUCCAUCACCACCCCUCCGGCCCCCGCCGGAAAGAGGACCUGGAGGAAAAGACCCCUCAGGCUCCGGCCGCAGCUCCACCCGCAGGGGCCGUGGGAAGCGGGCGCUCCGGGGAGGAUGCCGCGCCCAGUAGGGGUCGACCCGAAGAGGGGGUCCCCUCCGGGGGGGGACCUGCCCGGGGCUGGGCGAGGGUAUGAGUUCCCGGCUCCCCCACAUCCAUCACCCUCAGGCCACGCUGAGCUUCCUGGACGCGGAAGCCUAGGCCCCAGCACCGCUGCACCUGCCGGCCGGGCACCCCACUAACGCGGCAUCCCGAGAAGGGCCGACUUCCAGGACGACGCAGCUGCGUGCACACAGCCCCCCUUGGCCCGGUGCGGCGGCCCGCAGGGGAGAACGAGCUUGCAGGGUGCGGGUGCGGGCCGCUGGGGCCGAUCUGGCGUCGCAGAACCCGGGGUCCACACCGUCCAGGCUGCGGCCGCGACGACCCCCUGCCAGGCGCCGGUCUCCUCCGGGAGGGCUCCAGCCCGCGCCACCUCCAGGCACAGGGCGCCCUCGUAACUCCCAAUGAAAGUCCUGCGGGAAACGGUUCCCGACCUCGCCAGGCUGGGGGCAGAAGCGACGGGAUGACGCGGAUUGUAAUCGGAAGGUCAGCCUGUCCUGGCCACGCCAGGAAAUGUAAAAUUUAAAGCACAUUUACAUUUUACAGCCCUCCAAUUCCCAAUUCCCUUUUCUCUGCACGCUGACCCAACUUGGUAACGUGAGCUCGCGCCUGUGAGCACUCACCUUCCCGCCGUGACCCGGGCCCAGGGCUUCAGGGCAGGAGUUGUCAGGAGGGUGUGCAGCAGGGAAAAUGGGUGCUGAGGAGCCGAAGGACGACUUGGGAGGGAUAGGGGAGAAGGAAAAGAGGGGCCGAGCAAAGGCCUAGAGAACCGCUGGGGAAGAAACGUUGAACUUAAGAUGAACAGAGGCCAAGCUGUCUUUGAUUGACAGCAUCUCAGGCUCACAAAAGCAACUUUCAAAGAUAAUGAAAUGCCUACCUUUCAAUAGCUUGUUUUCUCCCUGUAACGCUUAUUUAAAUGUUGUUAUAACAAUUCUUUCUUUCUUUCUUUUUUUUUUUUUUGAGAUGGAGUCUCGCUCUGUCGCCCAGGCUGGAGUGCAAUGGCGCGAUCUCGGCUCACCGCGACCUCUGCCUCCCGGGUUCCAGCGAUUCUCCUGCCUCAGCCUCCCGAGUAGGUGGGAUUACAGGCACCUGCCACCAUGCCCGGCUCAUUUUUGUAUUUUUAGUAGAGUCGGGGUUUCACCAUGUUAGCCAGCCUGGUUUCGAACUCCUGACCUCAAAUGAUCUGCCUGCCUUGGCCUCCGAAAGUGCUGGGAUUACAGGUGUGAGCCACCGCGCCUGGCCUAUCACAAUUCUUGAUUGUUUAAAGUGCAAUUAUUUGGAGAAAAUAAUUUUAAAUGUUCUCUGGGAAUUUAUUGUAGAAAGCAGUUAGACUUUUACCAGUGGUCACAACUUCACUGAUGAGAAUGAUAACCCAUUAAUAAAACAGCCCUCUUCUUCUGAGACUUGAUUUUGAAUAUUCUGAUCUAGAUAGGCAGAUUCUAAAGCUACUCAACACCCCGAACCCUGUGACCACAUCUCCCAGAGCAGGGUACUGGGACUGGUUUCCGUUCCCUUGGCAUGUCCCUGAGGCAAUGCUUGAAGACACCUGUAAUUGCCACAAGACACAUUUUCCUAACCCCCAGGCUGCCAGUCAAUUGCUAGUUACCAGCUUCUGAAAACCAUACAGGGAAGGGAUUAAGAAGUGGGCUCUGGAAUUAAGCCACCUCGUUCAGUUCCUGGCCCUGCCACUCACUAAGGGAUAUUGAGCAAGUUACUUAGCUUCUGUGCCUGGAGUCUUACCCAAAACAUGCCGGUGAUAAUGACAGUGCCCGCUGUGAGGGUGAGGACCAAAGGCUCUAACACGGGGAUCCCGCUGGGCACAGUCAGGGUGAGCUGCCCUGCUAGCCUGCUGCCUAGUGUCCUGGGAGUCCAGUAAAAGCAAACCAGCACCUGCCUUGCUGCCUCUGGAGUCCCCUCUUUUCCAGAUAGAGUCCCCUUGGUAGGUGCCCUGACUCAAGGUGCCCAGGCCUCCUCCUCCUCCUCCAUAGCAGGAAGGAAGCUGGGCACCAGACCAAGAACUGGGAUGGGCCAGGCAGCAAGACUGUGGGCAGCCCAGGAAAGAGAACAAACCCACUGCCUGCCACAACAGCUGUGGGAAGGGGCUGCUGCAGAGGAUGUAGGUGGCAGGGAGGGGACCAUGCCAGGACACUCACAGAGUAAGAAGCAGCGAGCUGAUGAGUCUUAGUCCCAGGAACAAAUGAACAUUACCAGCAAUAAAAUAAUGGCUGGUUUCUGAUUCUGCUAAGUAGUAGCAUAUUAAAGAAAACUGCCAUCCUGACACCCUUCUAGAUGAGAGGAUGCUACAUUCUGACUUGGGUUUCAGCCCAGCCAGUCCUGUGAGGUGGAAGUCUCAGAACCAUCCCCAGCUCAAGAGCAAAGUCUAUACUGUAAGUUGAAUGCUAAUACAUCUUUCUUGGUGUUUUUAGAUCCCAGAGCCCCAGGAAUAAAAUGCAGAGGAUCCACAGUUGCCUCCCAGUUUUAUUAGGAUGGUGCAAAAGUAAUUGCAGUUUUUCCAUUAAAAUUAACAGCGAAAAAUGCAAUACUUUUACGCCAACCUAAAUAAUACAGCCAUCCAGGGGCCUCACUCAGAGCAGAAAGUCAUCACGUGGACUCAACGAAUGCCCUUAGCUGUCUUCCUGGUGGACCAGUGACCACACCUCCCACUCCAGGGGCACUGGCAAAGCAGGGCACACACCCAGGUCAAUGCCAGGAGCCGGAUCUCCCAGUAAGACUAGGGGCACUGGUAGGAGCAUCAAGCAGGGGAUCCAGACCCUGCCUGCUGUCUGCAAAGAAGGUGGUACCCCACGGCCAGCUGGUCCAGCUCAGGCACAAAGUAUUCUUGGCCCUCAGGCCAGGGUCCUGACUGCCUCCGGUGGACAGAAGAGCAAGAGCGUCUGGAAAGCAACAGUGAGCUUGUCUCCAGCAUCCACAACAGCUCCAGUGCCGGGCUUACAUAUGGCAGCAUGCAGCCUUCCCACAGCUGCCCUGUGACCUGGGUACUGAACCUCUCCCACCACCUCCCUCAGCCCCCACCCCCAGGUUAUGAAUGGGCUCUCCCGAUUAAAAGCAUGUUCUCACUGCUUGGAACAUGGUAGGUGCCUUAUAAAUGAUGGGUGGGUAGAUGGAUAGAUGGAUGAAUGGUUUUCCUAACAAAAUGGAGGACUUUGAUGAAUUGUCAUUAAUUCUCAUUGAUCUUCAGUAUUUUAUACUUCUGUAGCAAUUGGGAAUAGAAACUCUUUUAAAAAUGACAUGUCUUUAGGAUAUUUUUUCAUAACUACCUAGCACCCAGCAAUUCAUCAC